rnacentral:rRNA from 1 species
UACGUAGGUGGCAAGCGUUAUCCGGAAUUACUGGGCGUAAAGCGCACGCAGGUGGUUUGCUAAGAUUGACGUGAAAGCGCCUGGCUUAACUGGGCGAGGUCGUGGAUGACUGGCAGACUUGAGGCGAGGAGAGGGGUGUAGAAUUCCCGGUGUAGUGGUGGAAUGCGUAGAUAUCGGGAGGAAUACCAGUGGCGCAAGCGGCACCCUGGCCUUGGUCCUGACGCUCAGGUGCGAAAGCGUGGGGAGCGAAC